rnacentral:tRNA from 1 species
GUGGGUAUAGCUCAGUGGUAGAGCGCAUGCUUAGCAUGCACAAGGUCCUGGGUUCAGUCCCCAGUACCUCCA